rnacentral:rRNA from 1 species
CGAAGUAGCAAUACUUAGUGGCAGACGGGUGAGUAACAUGUGGGUAUCUGCCCUUUGGCCUGGAAUAACACGAGGAAACUUGUGCUAAUACCGGAUAAGUCUUUACAGAGAAAGCUUUAUGCACCAUUGGAUGAGCCUGCACUUGAUUAGUUUGUUGGUGGGGUAAUGGCCUACCAAGACUGUGAUCAAUAGCUGAUUUGAGAGGAUGAUCAGCCACAUUGGGACUGAGACACGGCCCAAACUCCUACGGGAGGCAGCAGUGGGGAAUCUUGCACAAUGGAGGAAACUCUGAUGCAGCGAUGCCGCGUGAGUGAAGAAGGCCUUUGGGUUGUAAAGCUCUUUCGUCGGGGAAGAAAAUGACUGUACCCGAAUAAGAAGGUCCGGCUAA